rnacentral:rRNA from 1 species
AUUGAACGCUGGCGGCAGCCUUAACACAUGCACGUCGAACGUGUGGCGGACGGGUGAGCAAUGCUUGGGACUCUAGCUUAUGGAGGGGGAUCACUACGGGAAACUGUCGCUAAUACCGCGUACCCUACGAUGAGCCCCAGUGUGAUUAGGUAGUUGGUGAGGUAAAGGCUCACCAAGCCGACGACCGCUAGAUGGUCUGAGAGGAUGAUCAGCCACCAUGGGACUGAGACACGGCCCAGACUCCUACGGGAGGCAGCAGUGGGGAAUAUUGCACAAUGGGCGCAAGCCUGAUGCAGCCAUGCCGCGUGUAUGAAGAAGGCCUUAGGGUUGUAAAGUACUUUCAGCGGGGAGGCGUUACCCGCAGAAGAAGCACCGGCUAACUCCGUGCCAGCAGCCGCGGUAAUUC